UUGAUAAGGAAAAAAGGCCUGUUAUCUCUUGGGGAAUAUGCCCAGUGAGGUGAUUUCUUGCCACAUUUAAAAGCAUCAAACUUGUGCAGUUUCCAAUACUUGAAGGAAGGCUUCCUUCAAAUUUGUUUUGUGACAACUGAAGGAUAGACAAUCGAGUGAGGUUGCCUAAAGAGGAUGGAAUUAGACCUGACAAUCUGUUUCCCCACAAAAGCAAUCCUUGCAGUUUCCAGAACUU
rnacentral:misc_RNA from 1 species